UCGGGAAUUUUGGGCAAUGGGCGAAAGCCUGACCCAGCAACGCCGCGUGAGGGAUGAAGUAUUUCGGUAUGUAAACCUCGAAAGAAUGGGAAGAAUAAAUGACGGUACCAUUUAUAAGCUCCGGCUAACUACGUGCCAGCAGCCGCGGUAAUACGUAGGGAGCAAGCGUUGUUCGGAUUUACUGGGCGUAAAGGGCGCGUAGGCGGCGCGGUAAGUCACUUGUGAAAUCUCUGAGCUUAACUCAGAACGGCCAAGUGAUACUGCUGUGCUAGAGUGCGGAAGAGGCAACCGGAAUUCUUGGUGUAGCGGUGAAAUGCGUAGAUAUCAAGAGGAACACCGAUGGCGAAGGCAGAUCUCUGGGCCGUAACUGACGCUGAGGAGCGAAAGCAUGGGGAGCGAACA
rnacentral:rRNA from 1 species